ACAGAGGUCUCAAGCGUUGUUCGGAAUCACUGGGCGUAAAGGGUGCGUAGGUGGCGUGGUAAGUCAGAUGUGAAAGCCCGGGGCUCAACCUCGGAAUUGCAUCCGAUACUGCCGUGCUCGAGUACUGGAGAGGUGACUAGAAUUCUAGGUGUAGCAGUGAAAUGCGUAGAUAUCAAGUGGAACACCAGUGGCGAAGGCGAGUCCCUGGACAAGACCUGACACUGAGGCGCGAAAGCCAGGGGAGCAAACAGGA
rnacentral:rRNA from 1 species